rnacentral:rRNA from 1 species
AUUGAACGCUGGCGGCAUGCCUUACACAUGCAAGUCGAACGGUAACAGCACUUCGGUGGCUGACGAGUGGCGAACGGGUGAGUAAUACAUCGGAACGUGCCCGAGAGUGGGGGAUAACGCAGCGAAAGCUGUGCUAAUACCGCAUACGAUCUACGGAUGAAAGCAGGGGAUUCGCAAGGACCUUGCGCUCAUGGAGCGGCCGAUGGCAGAUUAGGUAGUUGGUGGGAUAAAAGCUUACCAAGCCGACGAUCUGUAGCUGGUCUGAGAGGAUGAUCCGCCACACUGGGACUGAGACACGGCCCAGACUCCUACGGGAGGCAGCAGUGGGGAAUUUUGGACAAUGGGCGAAAGCCUGAUCCAGCCAUGCCGCGUGAGUGAAGAAGGCCUCGGUUGUAAGACGUCUUUCUAGACGGAAGAAA